UAUUUGUGGAGCUCAGAAACCACUUAAAAACAACGAGGCGCAAUCCGAAAAGCCAAAAGAGUAGGAAGUAA
rfam:Aquimarina spongiae strain DSM 22623 genome assembly, contig: Ga0070582_111